rnacentral:tRNA from 1 species
GGGUAGGUAGUGAAGUGGUCAAACACAACAGACUGUAAAUCUGUCGGCUUACGCCUUCGAAGGUUCGAAUCCUUCCCUGCCCA